GGUUCCGUCCGGUCAUGGGCUCAUCUGAUUGGCCUCCUCGGGCGUGACAUCACGGGAGGUGAGCUCGGAGAAGAGGGCGGGCAGCCAGUACUGCGGCUCGUCUGAUGCUUGAGAGUCCAGCCAGGCCAGGCCCUCCUUCAGACGCUGUUGACAUGGGACUCACCAGGACGUGACUCGCUCGCUCCUUUUCCCACUUGAGACUGUUCUUUAUCUCACUCACCGUCACGUAGCCCUUCUUCUACAAAGCAGCGACAAGCAUAACUGGAUUUUUCUUUGUUGUAUUUAUAGAAUAUACAAAGCUGUGUUUUUUUGGGGUUGGUUUACCUCAGCCAGCUGCAGGACCACUGUGUGGUCCAUGUUGAGCUCCGCUGGGACGGAUUGCACCAAGUAGGAGCCGCCCACCGGAAUCAUCCCGAAACCGUUGCCCAUGACUUUGAGUUUCUUGAUGGCUCGCACCAAAUCAUCCCUGGGGGAAAAUGGCACAGACAAGUUAAAUGUAAGAGCUUUAAUCAUUCAAUGUACCUGUGGAUGAAAUAGUGAAGCGUGCAGUCAAAUGCACACGAGUAAUGUACAAAGCAUGUGGAGUACAGUCAAUGAAUGGGGCACGGCAGCCUCUCCAAGUAUCCACAAUCUCUCCUCUAUUCUUACCCGUUUCCUCUCUUUGUGCCAACCCGCUUCUUCCUUGACAAUUGCACCAUGUUUUUGUGGUUCAAUAAUUAAUAAAGUACAAGAUACUGUAUGUAUCGAGACUCAAAACCCAA